GAUAGUGGCGACGGGUGAGUAACACGUGGGCAAUCUGCCCUGCACUCUGGGACAAGCCCUGGAAACGGGGUCUAAUACCGGAUACUGAUCCGUCUGGGCAUCCAGACGGUUCGAAAGCUCCGGCGGUGCAGGAUGAGCCCGCGGCCUAUCAGCUUGUUGGUGAGGUAGUGGCUCACCAAGGCGACGACGGGUAGCCGGCCUGAGAGGGCGACCGGCCACACUGGGACUGAGACACGGCCCAGACUCCUACGGGAGGCAGCAGUGGGGAAUAUUGCACAAUGGGCGAAAGCCUGAUGCAGCGACGCCGCGUGAGGGAUGACGGCCUUCGGGUUGUAAACCUCUUUCAGCAGGGAAGAAGCGAAAGUGACGGUACCUGCAGAAGAAGCGCCGGCUAACUACGUGCCAGCAGCCGCGGUAAUACGUAGGGCGCGAGCGUUGUCCGGAAUUAUUGGGCGUAAAGAGCUCGUAGGCGGCUUGUCACGUCGGUUGUGAAAGCCCGGGGCUUAACCCCGGGUCUGCAGUCGAUACGGGCAGGCUAGAGUUCGGUAGGGGAGAUCGGAAUUCCUGGUGUAGCGGUGAAAUGCGCAGAUAUCAGGAGGAACACCGGUGGCGAAGGCGGAUCUCUGGGCCGAUACUGACGCUGAGGAGCGAAAGCGUGGGGAGCGAACAGGAUUAGAUACCCUGGUAGUCCACGCCGUAAACGGUGGGCACUAGGUGUGGGCAACAUUCCACGUUGUCCGUGCCGCAGCUAACGCAUUAAGUGCCCCGCCUGGGGAGUACGGCCGCAAGCUAAAACUCAAAGGAAUUGACGGGGCCGCACAGCGCGAGCAUGU
rnacentral:rRNA from 1 species